CCUACGGGUGGCAGCAGUGGGGAAUAUUGCACAAUGGGGGAAACCCUGAUGCAGCAACGCCGCGUGAGUGAAGAAGUCAUUCGUGAUGUAAAGCUCUAUCAGCAGGGAAGAAAAUGACGGUACCUGCCUAAUAAGCCCCGUCUAACUACGAGCCACCAGCCGCGGUAAUACGUCGGGGGCAAGCGUUAUCCGGCUUUACUGGGGGUAAAGGGAGCGUAGACGGCGACGCAAGUCUGAAGUGAAAUGCCAGUGCGCAACACUGGAACUGCUUUGGAAACUGUGUAGCUAGAGUGCAGGAGAGGUAAGUGGAAUUCCUAGGGUAGCGGUGAAAUGCGUAGAUAUUAGGAGGAACACCAGUGGCGAAGGCGGCUUACUGGACUGUAACUGACGUUGAGGCUCGAAGGCGUGGGGAGCAAACAGGAUUAGAUACCCGUGUAGUC
rnacentral:rRNA from 1 species